rnacentral:ncRNA from 1 species
UUCUUCGGGGUUGGGUGAAAUUCCCUACUGGCGGUAAGCGUUUUGCGGUUGGCAAAGGGCGAGUCCGCGACCCGCACGGCAGCUUGGAUAAAAGGCGGGCGCUGUGCGGCUGAUUCGGUGAGAAUCCGAGACCAACAGUAAAGUCUGGAUGAAAGAAGAA